rnacentral:rRNA from 1 species
GAUCAUGGCUCAGGAUGAACGCUAGCGGCAGGCUUAACACAUGCAAGUCGAGGGGCAGCAUGACACGGAGAUUCGUCGAAGUGUUGAUGGCGACCGGCGCAAGGGUGCGUAACGCGUGAGCAACUUGCCCGUUUCUGGGGAAUAACCGGUGGAAACGCCGACUAAUACCCCAUAGUAUAACGAAGAGGCAUCUUUUUGUUAUUAAAGAACUUCGGAAACGGAUAGGCUCGCGUGACAUUAGCUAGAUGGCGGGGUAACGGCCCACCAUGGCGACGAUGUCUAGGGGUUCUGAGAGGAAGGUCCCCCACACUGGAACUGAGACACGGUCCAGACUCCUACGGGAGGCAGCAGUGAGGAAUAUUGGUCAAUGGGCGAGAGCCUGAACCAGCCAAGUCGCGUGAGGGAUGACGGUCCUAUGGAUUGUAAACCUCUUUUGUCGGGGAGCAAGGGCUCUACGUGUAGAGUGGUGAGAGUACCCGAAGAAAAAGCAUCGGCUAACUACGUG